GGUGGGAUAAUAGUUUAGGUUGCA
rnacentral:siRNA from 1 species